AGAUUGAACGCUGGCGGCAUGCCUUACACAUGCAAGUCGAACGGCAGCACGGGAGCAAUCCUGGUGGCGAGUGGCGAACGGGUGAGUAAUAUAUCGGAACGUGCCCAGUCGUGGGGGAUAACGCAGUGAAAGCUGUGCUAAUACCGCAUACGAUCUAUGGAUGAAAGCGGGGGACUCGCAAGAGCCUCGCGCGAUUGGAGCGGCCGAUAUCAGAUUAGCUAGUUGGUGGGGUAAAAGCCCACCAAGGCGACGAUCUGUAGCUGGUCUGAGACGGGCACGAGACCGACACUAGGAACUGAGACACGGUCCAGACU
rnacentral:rRNA from 1 species